rnacentral:rRNA from 1 species
UGGGGAAUUUUGGACAAUGGGCGAAGCCUGAUCCGGCAAUGCCGCGUGUGUGAAGAAGGCCUUCGGGUUGUAAAGCACUUUUGUCCGGAAAGAAAUCCUUGGCUCUAAUACAGUCGGGGGAUGACGGUACCGGAAGAAUAAGCACCGGCUAACUACGUGCCAGCAGCCGCGGUAAUACGUAGGGUGCAAGCGUUAAUCGGAAUUACUGGGCGUAAAGCGUGCGCAGGCGGUUUGCUAAGACCGAUGUGAAAUCCCCGGGCUCAACCUGGGAACUGCAUUGGUGACUGGCAGGCUAGAGUAUGGCAGAGGGGGGUAGAAUUCCACGUGUAGCAGUGAAAUGCGUAGAGAUGUGGAGGAAUACCGAUGGCGAAGGCAGCCCCCUGGGCCAAUACUGACGCUCAUGCACGAAAGCGUGGGGAGCAAACAGGAUUAGAUACCCUGGUAGUCCACGCCCUAAAACGAUGUCAACUAGUUGUUGGGGAUUCAUUUCCUUAGUAACGUAGCUAACGCGUGAAGUUGACCGCCUGGGGAGUACGGUCGCAAGAUUAAAACUCAAAGGAAUUGACGGGGUCAUAGCUG